UGUACAGUAAAAGAUGUUUAAUGAGCGCUCGACAGCGCGAAUUAUCCUGUACUGAAACUACUGAUGGCUUUUGUAGCAGCCGAAUGGCGAAUUGUGCCAUAGUACUCACAUUGUUAAAUUGUUCUGUGCGUCGUAUUAAUUCCGAAUUAUAAAAUACAUCUUCUCCUUGAUUUUGGGGGAAGUCGUCUAGUAAAUGGUGGAGCUGCCUCGAGGUCGCAGGCGCUACACCAGAGUUACACUUAAGCCUUAAAGGAUGUCUCUUCCACUCCGUAAUUCAGAUUUCAGACUACGAACAUGAAUACUCAAGUUCUACACUUCUGCUGAUAUCACCACGAGUACAGAGAUCGGAUUUAAAAAAUACGAACCCAGACCUGUCGAAAACUCGCGGGUUGAUGUCAGUGGAAAUAAAAAUUUCGGGCCAUCAGAGUAAAGUAACCUAACGAAGCCUAUCGUCUGAAAAUUUACCAUGGAGAGCUUCAAUCACCCGAUCGGCUUCCGAACUGUUCAACAAUUCCACGAAACUAUACUUCAUUCCAUAGCUCGACGCGCGGUAGUUUCGGCUAGUUUUACGCAGCAGCAACUAAAUGCGAAAAAAUUUGUUCAAGGCACGUACAACCAAGGCGGUAUUUCUCAAAAAUGAAAAGUUGUGGUCGAGGAAUUACACUAGAAAAGAUUUCACAUAACAACCUUCCUGCUAAGUAUCGAUGAGUCAAUGCUACAGAUCUAGAAUUGUUGAAUAAUUGUGGUUAGGAUUAAUUAACUGUUUGGAUUUUUACCUCAACAUUCGACACUGUGGUGCCGUAUCGCGCAAACAGUUCACGCAAAUCCUCUGGGGUCACACUCUCAUCCAGAUUGCCGACAUACAGUGACACAGGGUCACCAACGAACUGAACCACGGAAGGAGAUGGGAAGACUGGAUCAGUGAAGCUAAAGGAAACAGACAAAUUAGUGCCAAGAUCCUUUUUUAAGGCAUUUUGUGCAGAUUCAGUUCUACCAACCAUGCGCUUUGAAUUAAAUAAAAUACCACAUCUCACAUAAUAUCGAUAUAAAAUUAGUAUACCUGGGCGCGAUCUGAGCGUAACUGGGAGCGUUUUGCACUGAAUGCAUGUUAAUGCCCAUCGGUGCGUAAGGAACCAGGUUGUUGACCGUGCUGUUGUAAA